AUACUGGCUCAGAUCGAACGCUGGCAGCGUGCCUUAUACAUGCAAGUCGAGGGAGAAACUUCACUUCGGUGAAGGAGUAAACCGGCGCAAGGGUGAGUAAUGCAUGGGUAACCAGCCUUCCGGAGUGGGAUAACGGCGGUUCCUUCGGGAACCCUUCGGCGAAAGCGCCGCUAAUACCACAUGUUGAUAUUUGGGCACGACUUACUCGUAAGCGCGUAGCCCGAAUGUUGAAACGGUGCAUGGAUUCGUCCAUGUUUCUGCCGGAAGAGGGGCUCAUGUCCUAUUAGCUUGUUGGCGGGGUAACGGCCCACCAAGGCGAUGAUGGGUAACCGGCGUGAGAGCGCGACCGGUCACACUGGGACUGAGACACUGCCCAGAGCCCCACGGGGCGCAGCAGUAGGGAAUCUUCCGCAAUGGGCGCAAGCCUGACGGAGCGACGCUGCGUGGAGGAAGAAGGCCUUCGGGUUGUAAACUCCUGUCAGGGGCUAAGAAACCCACAGAAGUGAUUCUGUGGCUGACAAAGACCCCAGAGGAAGCCAUGGCUAACUCCGUGCCAGCAGCCGCGGUAAUACGGAGAUGGCAAGCGUUGAUCGGAUUUACUGGGCGUAAAGCGCGCGUAGGCGGCUAGGUAAGUUGGAGGUUGAAGACCACGGCUCAACCGUGGAAGAGCCUCCAAUACUGCUUGGCUGGAGGACGACAGAGGAGAGUGGAACUCUUGGUGGAGCGGUGGCAUGCGUAGAUAUCAAGGGGAACGCCGGCGGCGAAAGCGGCUCUCUGGGUCGUUCCUGACGCUGAGUGUGCGAAAGCCAGGGGAGCGAACGGAAUUAGAUACUCCGGUAGUCCUGGCCGUAAACGAUGGGCACUUGGCAGUAGGGUAAAACCUUGCUGCCGUAGCUAACGCGUUAAGUGCCCCGCCUGGGUAGUACGGCCGCAAGGCUAAAACUCAAAGUAAUUGACGGGGGCUCGCACAAGCGGUGGAGCACGUGCCUUAAUUCGAGACAACGCGAGGAACCUUACCAGGGUUUGACAUGUUGGUGGUACGAACCUGAAAGGGUUAGGACCUUGGUUUCCAAGGAGCCAACACAGGUGUUGCAUGGCUGUCGUCCGUUCGUAUCGUGAGAUGUUGGGUUAAGUCCUUCAACGAGCGAAACCCCUGUCCCUAGUUGCUAACGGGUAAUGCCGAGGACUCUAUGGAGACUGCCGGUGUCAAACCGGAGGAAGGUGGGGACGACGUCAAGUCAUCAUGGCCCUUAAGCCCUGGGCGGGACACAUGCUACAAUGGUCGGUACAAAGGGAUGCCAAACCGCAAGGUGGAGCGAAACCCUAAAAGCCGGCCCCAGUUCGGAUCGGGGGCUGCAACCCGCCCCCGUGAAGUCGGAAUCGCUAGUAAUCGCGGAUCAGCCACGCCGCGGUGAAUAUGUGCCCGAGCCUUGUACACACCGCCCGUCAAGCCACGGAAGCUGGGAGUGCGCGAAGUCAUGAGUUCAACCUCGUUUCGGCGAGGAGGACCAUGCCCACCGCAAAAUCAGUAACCGGGACUAAGUCGUAACAAGGU
rnacentral:rRNA from 1 species